GACGUAGGGUGCAAGCGUUUGUCCGGAUUAUUGGGCGUAAAGAGUUCGUAGGCGGUUGCCUAAGUCUGAUGUUAAAGCCCGGAGCUCAACUCCGGUAUGGCAUUGGAAACUGGGCAGCUUGAGUAUGGAUAGAGGUUACGGGAAUUCCUGGUGUAGCGGUGAAAUGCGUAGAGAUCCGGAAGAACACCGGUGGCGAAGGCGGCCUGCUGGGCAGUAGCUGACACUGAGGCGCGACAGCGUGGGGAGCAACAGG
rnacentral:rRNA from 1 species